GUGCUCGCUUCGGCAGCACAUACACUAAAACUGGAAAGACACAGAGAUGAUCGGCGUGGCUCCUGCUCCAGGAUGACACGCUAGUGUGUGCAGCGGUCCAUACUUUU
ensembl:snRNA U6 U6 spliceosomal RNA